GGAUCUUCCUGAGGCCCCGGCAGCGGCCUGUCUCGUGUCUGGAACCCUGUGCAGAUCCGACAAGAGACCCCCCGCGGAGGGGGUACUGGUCCCAUGACUGCGGACACACCCGCCAGCGCCAGGUGCGAUCCAGCGACAGGGUUUUCUAAGUGGACUUCCUCCAGGACGGUGAGGAUGGAUGACGCAGCACUAAGAACAUACUAGAACCAGCUGUCACACGGCACACGGCUGGUGACUGGAGCUUCCCCGUCACUCACCUGGGAAGGAGCAGGUCAGGAACCCCCAGUCCUGCAGGUCCUCAGCGCAGGGCACGGCCCCUUGCUCCAGAUGGGAGAUGAGGGGUGGCUUAGGGCAGGCAAGGCCUGCUCGUGGAGAAGGGAAGUCAGUGUGCAUAGCAGAUCACCUCUGUCCCAACACCCGGCCUUGACCCUUCUGCUCACACUGCAGAGGAGAGUGUGAGCAGGGGGGAGAAAAGGGUGUACUUGGGGGGGUCUGCCAAGGUGUAAGCAAGCAUGUAGGGAUGACCUCAGAAAGGUCACGCUCAGAAGGGCAGAGGAGGAGACCCCCGGAAGCAGUCACUUGGUUGUAUUUUCCCCGUUGUGGCUGCGAGGCAAGAGUGAGGGCUCUGACUUUCACUGGGAGGCCCGGAGCCGUCAAUAGACAGCAAGCAAAGAGUAAGGACAGGAGAAAGGACUACGCCAAGCACGGGGUGUCCUCACCAGCCGACAGCAUGUUGCCAUAGUUCUCCAGCAUCACGUCAGUGUACAGGUGCCUCUGGGCGCGGGUCAGACACUGCCACUCUCCGCUACUGAAGCACACGGCCACAUCCUCAAACGUCACCACGUCCUGCAAGGAUAUGCUCCCGCUGACCCGGAGGAAACCCCAGUCCCCAGGAAACAGACACAGAAGAAGGGAUUCUCAGGAGGUUUCUAGAAAUGAAAGGAAGGAUGGAGGGGCCUCAGCUUGCCUGGGCCCCACUCACCGGUGUGGUAUUUGCUCCUGGCCGGUCUCCGUGGCUUCCGUCGUUGGCAAAGGCAGGAUGCUGAGGAGCCCGCAGGGCUGAGGGAAGAGAAAUGAGUCAACCUGGCACGACAAUAAAUACUAAAAGCCUACUUUUGAGGUUCCUGGUGCCUCGUCCUCUGUCCAAAGGUCGGUGCCAUUCAGGGUCUGCCUGUAGGACUCCAGAAUUGCUAAACGCCAGGCCCUGGGUUUACUUCCAGCAGCCACGUCUAUACAGUCUUGUCCACCUUCCUCUGCACAUGUCCCAUCAAAGAGCAUUUCUAAACCCAGCCUCGCAUUUUCCCAAAGCUUCACGACAAGACCUUUGCUCCUUCUUGGCCAGUUGUUUCCAGAUCACUCACUCUGAGGGAGGCCAGCUGUCACAUUGUGAGGAGUGGCCCACGUGGUGAGGAAAUGAAACCCCCGCCAACAGCCAUUUGAAUGAGUUUAGAAGUGCAUCCUCUAGCCCCCAGUGUAGCCAUCAGAUGACUACAGCCCAGGUCACAGACUCAAAGCCAACAGCUGAGCUGCUCUCAGAUUCCUGAUCUGCAGAAACUGUGUGAGGUAAUGAACAUUUGAUGUUUGAUACU